AGAGGUGGCAAGCGUUGUUCGGAAUUACUGGGCGUAAAGGGCGCGUAGGCGGUUCGUUAAGUCCUGUGUGAAAUCCCCCGGCUCAACUGGGGAACUGCACAGGAAACUAGCGGGCUUGAGUUCGGGAGAGGGAAGCGGAAUUCCGGGUGUAGCGGUGAAAUGCGUAGAUAUCCGGAGGAACACCGGUGGCGGAGGCGGCUUCCUGGACCGACACUGACGCUGAGGCGCGAAAGCUAGGGGAGCAAACGGGAUUAGAUACCCCGGUAGUCCUAGCUGUAAACGAUGAGUGCUGGGUGUAGGGGGUAUUAACCCCCCCUGUGCCGAAKCUAACGCAUUAAGCACUCCGCCUGGGGAGUACGGUCGCAWGGCUG
rnacentral:rRNA from 1 species